ensembl:snRNA U6 U6 spliceosomal RNA
GCUCACUUCGGCAGCACAUAUACUGAAGCAAUACAGAGAAUAUUAGUGUGGCCCUUGCGCAAGGAUGACCUGCAAAUUCAUGAAGAAUUCCAUAUUUUU